AUUGGCUCCCAUCUCCCAGAUGGCCUGGUGUGGGAGUGGCCUCUCCUGCUCCAGAUCAGCAGACACACCUGUCCCAUUCAGCCUGCUGGGGGAGGGGCGCCCUGGGCGGUGCCUUUAAGUUGCGAGGGUGGCGACGGCGGGGGUAGAGGACCUGCCGCGCGGAGCUUGUCAAUUUGCUCCCCUCUUUCCCGCGGCCAAACUUGGGGGCGUCCUCUGCUUCUCAAGAAGCCGGAUGCCCGUCUCCAGGUCAGCUUGCCCCUGGGAGGCGGAAGCGAUGAGGUCGAGGGGCAGGGGCACCCGGCCGUCGCAGCUGCCUAAUGGGGCCACUUCUCCUUUCCCCUGACCUGGCCUGGGGACGGCCUCUCCCGCCCAAGAUUCGCCUGACACACCACACCAGGUCAGGUUGCUCCUGGGAGGUGACAUUUUAGGUUAUUGGGUCACAGAUGGCUGGCACACUCAUCCCUGUUCUAAAACAUCUUUUAAACUUGGGUGAAGUGAUAAGUAGGGGAAGAAGAUGAUUUACUGAAAGGCAGUCACAGUAGAAGACAGAGCUGACAUAAACAUCCCUCAGCUGCCUGAACUGCAAAGCUUCUGGGAUUACUGAUCCCUGAAAUGCAGGUGACUCUUGAUGAUAAUCUGGGGGAUGGUUUACAUGAUCAGAUUCUUCCAGUCCUGUAAAUGGGUUCCGUGGCCCCAGCCCCGGGAGAACUGGUCAUAAGGGCUAUAUCGUGAGGGGUGGGAUGGGAAGGCAUGGUGUAAGAGCUGGAA